UACGGAGGAUGCAAGCGUUAUCCGGAAUGAUUAGGCGUAAAGCGUCCGCAGGUGGCUGUGUAAGUCUGCUGUUAAAGAGUCUAGCUCAACUAGAUAAAAGCAGUGGAAACUACACGGCUAGAGUACGUUCGGGGCAGAGGGAAUUCCUGGUGUAGCGGUGAAAUGCGUAGAGAUCAGGAAGAACACCAGUGGCGAAGGCGCUCUGCUAGGCCGUAACUGACACUGAGGGACGAAAGCUAGGGGAGCGAAUGGG
rnacentral:rRNA from 1 species